GGCACUGGAGUCAGUGGCUGCUUUGUGAAGAAGAAAGAGUCAGUGCCCUGAGGAGCUGUCCACGAGAAAUACCAAGAAGCUGAAAAAUGAGUUUCAUGGAGAAAGCGAGAGAAUGAACAUGGAAAAGCAGAAUAGAAAAAUUCUGGAAAAUAAGAAGCAGUUUUGUUCUUCCUUUCAUUACCCUUGUCUGCUUCUGGGAAUUAGAUUAAGUAAACCUAAAAGACAGGACACGAGGAAAAAAAGAAGACAUCCAAAAUUCAUACUUACAUUAACAGAACAAUACCCUGAAAGGGAAAUCAUGCCAAAAGUUGCAUCUGUGCCUUUUGCAAGAUGGUGAUAAAAAAGCAAAAGAAAUCUCUCAAUUUUCAAGAUAGCUUCAAAAAGAAAGCAACCAGACAUGGAACUACCUCCCACACUUCGCUGCCAGCGGCUCUUGCAUGUGAUGUCCUUGGAUACCCAAAAGAUUAGCCAGUCUCAUCCACCUGGCCCAUGUCACAGGGAUCAAGGACAUUUCUCCAUCUGCAAACUUAAGCUCAUGCUCUCUGAAAGUGAAGAGAACAAAUUGAAAGUUAGAGUCUGAGAAGACUAAUAGGGGCAUCUCAUUCUUGAUGGGGGCAACAGUCCUCUCAUGUGGCAAUGCAUUAUGAGCAACAAAGAAGCAGAAGUCCAGAAAUUGGAUGAAGUUUCAGCCUCUCAGUGGUCAUUGACUCAGGACCAGAUUGAGCAGAGAAUAAGGUCACAUUUUGAUUGGAAAGGCAUCUGAUUGUCAGCUGCAGCCUGUGAAAGACCAAGUCAAGGACCUAAAACCAAAUAUGGGCUUUGCACUUGACUGAUGUGAAAUUCAUGUUUGUGUUUUGGUCUGGUUUCACAGACAUUAAAUGAGAGUCUACAUUUGUGGUGGCAUGUAGUCAAAAUUGCUCUUGGCCAGCUGGAUACCACAUGCCUUUCUUGAAUUCAGAGAAUUAUUACACUGGAUCAUUAAACUUCUAAUUUAAUGUUCAUUAUACCUGAAGAAAUUAUUUUCCUCUUUUGGUGCUGUGUCCUUUUCUGUUUUUCUUGCUGCAAGUUUAAUAACUACCAAACCUUAUCUUCCUCUUAAGAAGAAACAACUGCUUUUAAUCUAACAGAAAGCAUGUAUUCUUGAGAAAUCAAUGAUUCUGUCAUCCUAAACAUGCUGCCAUCAACACUGAAAAUAAAGCUUGAGCUCAUUUGGAUUCUGAAUUACUAAAGGUGUGGGACAUCAAAAUGUUUUCCCUAGAGGCCAAAGAAGGUGGAGCUUUGGUCUCUUUUUGACUUCUCACAAGAUUCUCUGUGGCCAGGAAGCUGUUGUCCUUGAGAUGUCUGUAUUGACACUUAUCUACAAGUCACUUAUCCAGUUAUCCAGCAACUGUUUCUUAAAUUCUUUUCUGAAGUGUAAGGCUGGCAUUUUCUGGAUGUACCUCCAUGUAGGCACAUCUCCAUCUUUACUGGUUUCCCAGCUGAAUUUCUGCUCAAAGUGGAUUGAUAGAGGUGUGUGUGAAUCAAGUACACAGCUGGGCACUCCUCAUACUCUUCUGUAUUUCCAGAUGUAGCUGACUGUCAUUGUGGAGGGACUUCAUUGCUCUUUGUAAAGGAUUUAGCCUGUGCAAGAGAAGGGUCACAUUCUGAGUAGUCAGACAAAACCAUCUGUGUGCAGUGGGAAGAGUGACAUGAAGAUUUCAGUGGCUCAUCCAGGCUUUGCUAGAAAGUCAUGGGAGUUUGGGAAGAGUCUUGAAAUGGGACUGAGAUACAUGAUGAGGAGGCUUGUGAUGCAAAGAGUCUAUAGGGACAGUAUUACAAAGUUCAUAUAAGACUCUUCUGUUUUAUCUGUGCUCUGUUACUGUCUUU